AUGUUAGCAUUGUGUGUGUGCACAAAGCAUAGACAGGUUGUGCCAGGCUUGGACGGCGGCGACAGCUGUACACAUGGAACUAUCGAGCCUGUAUUCAUUCAAACUUUGAUUCAAUUUCAGAGAGAAGAGGAUGACUUGCACACUCUCGUCCUGAGGCAGACUGAGUCUUGUGGGCACGCUGACCGGGGUGGAUCGGGUGUACCUUGCAACACAUCCUGUACAUCGUCUUGCACAAUACAAAGAAAGAUGGACUCCGAAGGCGAGGAGACCCAAACCCAAGUGUGCAAUGGCAGCGGGGUUCUGACUGACUGCGUUGCUGAGGCGCCCAGUGCUGGCCUGCUGGCUGCCAGGAAGAGGAGUGCACUCGAGGGGGGCCAGGGGGCCCCCGUCAACAAGCGGAAGUCGCUGCUGAUGAGGCCACGUCACUACAGCCCGGGCCCCGAACCCAGCCAAGCCAGCGACGGAGACGGGGACGGGACGAGGACGAGGACGAGGACAGCGAGGAGCUGGCAGCCGCGCGGGACAAAGACGAGCCCAGGAACAUUGACACUCCAGCAGAGACGAAUGGAGCGCUUGACGCUGCUGUGUACUGCGACCGAGACGCACACUCGCAGGACGACGCCCCGCACUGGUCUGACCACCUGAGCGAGGGGUCGCCUCGGCUGCAGGGCCUGACCUCGGAGAAGAUAGACGAGGAGGACGAGGAUGAGGACGAGGACGAGGAGGAGGAGGAGGAGGAGG
rnacentral:lncRNA from 1 species